UACAGAGGGUGCGAGCGUUACUCGGAAUUACUGGGCGUAAAGCGCACGUAGGCGGCUUGGUAUGUCGGGUGUGAAAUCCCCGGGCUCAACCUGGGAACUGCAUCCGAAACUGCCUUGCUAGAGUAUGGGAGAGGAAGGCGGAAUGCUUGGUGUAGAGGUGAAAUUCGUAGAUAUCAAGCGGAACACCGGUGGCGAAGGCGGCCUUCUGGACGAUGACUGACGCUGAAGCGCGAAAGCGUGGGGAGCAAACAGG
rnacentral:rRNA from 1 species